GAUGAACGCUGGCGGCGUGCUUAACACAUGCAAGUCGAACGAUGAUGCCCAGCUUGCUGGGUGGAUUAGUGGCGAACGGGUGAGUAACACGUGAGUAACCUGCCCUUGACUCUGGGAUAAGCCUGGGAAACUGGGUCUAAUACCGGAUACGACCAUCUGGCGCAUGUCAUGGUGGUGGAAAGCUUUUGUGGUUUUGGAUGGACUCGCGGCCUAUCAGCUUGUUGGUGGGGUAAUGGCCUACCAAGGCGACGACGGGUAGCCGGCCUGAGAGGGUGACCGGCCACACUGGGACUGAGACACGGCCCAGACUCCUACGGGAGGCAGCAGUGGGGCAUAUUGCACAAUGGGCGCAAGCCUGAUGCAGCGACUCCGCGUGAGGGAUGACGGCCUUCGGGUUGUAAACCUCUUUCAGUAGGGAAGAAGCGAAAGUGACGGUACCUGCAGAAGAAGCGCCGGCUAACUACGUG
rnacentral:rRNA from 1 species